CCCAGACUCCUACGGGAGGCAGCAGUGGGGAAUAUUGCACAAUGGGGGGAACCCUGAUGCAGCGACGCCGCGUGGGUGAAGGAGUACUUCGGUACGUAAAGCCCUAUCAGCAGGAAAGAAAAUGACGGUACCUGACUAAGAAGCCCCGGCUAACUACGUGCCAGCAGCCGCGGUAAUACGUAGGGGGCAAGCGUUAUCCGGAUUUACUAGGUGUAAAGGGAGCGUAGACGGCAGUGCAAGUCCGGAGUGAAAGCCCGGGGCUCAACCCUGGGACUGCUCUGGAAACUGUAAAGCUGGAGUGCGGGAGGGGCAGGCGGAAUUCCUGGUGUAGCGGUGAAAUGCGUAGAUAUCAGGAGGAACACCGGCGGCGAAGGCGGCCUGCUGGACCGUAACUGACGUUGAGGCUCGAAAGCGUGGGGAGCAAACAGGAUUAGAUACCCUUGUA
rnacentral:rRNA from 1 species